GGCUGGUUCAAGUGCAGUGAUGUUUAUGAUUAAUUGAUCACAGCCAGUCACAGAUUUCUUUGUUCCUUCUCUACUCCCACUGCUUCGCUUGACUAGCCUUAA
ensembl:misc_RNA Y_RNA Y RNA